UGGCUGAGUGGUAAAGCGCUUGGCUUCAUAACCGAGGGGUCCUGGGUUCUAAUCCUGG
rnacentral:tRNA from 1 species